rnacentral:rRNA from 1 species
UACGAAGGGGGCUAGCGUUGCUCGGAAUUACUGGGCGUAAAGCGCACGUAGGCGGCUUCUUAAGUCGGAGGUGAAAUCCUGGAGCUCAACUCCAGAACUGCCUUCGAUACUGGGAAGCUUGAGUUCGGGAGAGGUGAGUGGAACUGCGAGUGUAGAGGUGAAAUUCGUAGAUAUUCGCAAGAACACCAGUGGCGAAGGCGGCUCACUGGCCCGAUACUGACGCUGAGGUGCGAAAGCGUGGGGAGCGAACAGG